ACGAACGCUGGCGGCGUGCUUAACACAUGCAAGUCGAACGGAAAGGCCCCUUUGGGGGUACUCGAGUGGCGAACGGGUGAGUAACACGUGAGUAACCUGCCCUUGACUUCGGGAUAACUUCAGGAAACUGGGGCUAAUACCGGAUAGGAAUCCUUGCUGCAUGGUGGGGGGUGGGAAAGCUUCGGGGGUUUUGGAUGGACUCGCGGCUUAUCAGCUUGUUGGUGGGGUAGUGGCUUACCAAGGCUUUGACGGGUAGCCGGCCUGAGAGGGCGACCGGCCACAUUGGGACUGAGAUACGGCCCAGACUCCUACGGGAGGCAGCAGUGGGGAAUAUUGCACAAUGGGCGGAAGCCUGAUGCAGCAACGCCGCGUGCGGGAGGACGGCCUUCGGGUUGUAAACCGCUUUCAGCAGGGGCGAAGCUUGUGGUGACGGUACCUGCAGAAGAAGCACCGGCUAACUACGUG
rnacentral:rRNA from 1 species